rnacentral:rRNA from 1 species
UACAGAGGGGGCAAGCGUUAUUCGGAAUUAUUGGGCGUAAAGGGCGCGUAGGCGGCUUGGCAAGUGGAUGGUGAAAUCCCUCGGCUUAACCGAGGAACUGCCGUCCAAACUGCUUCGCUUGAGACCGGGAGAGGUGAGUGGAAUUCCCAGUGUAGCGGUGAAAUGCGCAGAUAUCAGGAAGAACACCUAUGGCGAAGGCAGCUCUCUGGGACGGUACUGACGCUGAGACGCGAAAGCGUGGGGAGCGAACAGG